GCCCAGACUCCUACGGGAGGCAGCAGUGGGGAAUAUUGCACAAUGGGGGAAACCCUGAUGCAGCGACGCCGCGUGAGCGAUGAAGUAUUUCGGUAUGUAAAGCUCUAUCAGCAGGGAAGAAGAUGACGGUACCUGACUAAGAAGCCCCGGCUAGCUACGUGCCAGCAGCCGCGGUAAUACGUAGGGGGCAAGCGUUAUCCGGAUUUACUGGGUGUAAAGGGAGCGUAGACGGCGAUGCAAGCCAGAUGUGAAAGCCCGGGGCUCAACCCCGGGACUGCAUUUGGAACUGUGUGGCUGGAGUGUCGGAGAGGCAGGCGGAAUUCCUAGUGUAGCGGUGAAAUGCGUAGAUAUUAGGAGGAACACCAGUGGCGAAGGCGGCCUGCUGGACGAUGACUGACGUUGAGGCUCGAAAGCGUGGGGAGCAAACAGGAUUAGAUACCCCAGUACCC
rnacentral:rRNA from 1 species